rnacentral:rRNA from 1 species
UACGUAGGGCGCAAGCGUUGUCCGGAAUUAUUGGGCGUAAAGAGCUCGUAGGUGGUUUGUCGCGUCUGCCGUGAAAGCCCGGGGCUUAACUCCGGGUCUGCGGUGGAUACGGGGCAGACUAGAGGCAGGUAGGGGAGAACGGAAUUCCCGGUGUAGCGGUGAAAUGCGCAGAUAUCGGGAGGAACACCGGUGGCGAAGGCGGUUCUCUGGGACGGUACUGACGCUGAGACGCGAAAAGCGUGGGGAGCGAACAGG